rnacentral:lncRNA from 1 species
GAAAAAAAUCAAAAUGAUUGCACAUUCUCAUGCCUCGACAGGUGAGCUAACCUACGGCCAGAUGUGUUUGAUUAUAGUAUUGUAGGUACAGAAUUUAAAGCACUAUGAUGUAGUAGAGUCGCGUCACGUCUGUUUUAGUUAUUAUAUUUUUGAUUAAAUUGAAGUUUAUUUUCAAAAUCUACAUUUAGAAUGUAUUAACCGCGCAUCUAUAUAUAUAUAUAUAUAUAAAUAUAAAUCCAAACAAACGGAAGGAGAAAAAAAAACACACAACAAAACCAAC